rnacentral:misc_RNA from 1 species
UCUCCGUUGGUGAACCAGCGGAGGGAUCAUUACAGAGUUGCAAAACUCCCAAACCAUUGUGAACGUUACCUAUCCCGUUGCUUCGGCGGGCGGCCCGGGCCCCGCGCCCGGCGCCCCCCGGCCCCCCGUGGGCGCCCGCCGGAGGUAAACCAAACCCUUGAAUUGCAUGGCCUCUCUGAGUCUUCUGUACUGAAUAAGUCAAAACUUUCAACAACGGAUCUCUUGGUUCUGGCAUUGAUGAAGAACGCAGC